GCUGCGGGCUGGGCAGGGCCCGUGGGGCCCUGGCAUGUGCCGAGCUCAGGGCUUGUCACUGCAGGGCCCCGCGGCCCCUUCCAGCCCUGGC
ensembl:miRNA gga-mir-1640 gga-mir-1640